ensembl:snRNA Rnu6-ps2 U6 small nuclear RNA, pseudogene 2
GUGCUAGCUUCAGCAGCACAUACACUAAAAUUGGAACGAUACAGAAAAGAUUAGCAUGGCCCCGUGCAAGUAUGACAUGCAAAUUCAUGAUGUGUUCCAUAUUUUU